rnacentral:rRNA from 1 species
CCUACGGGAGGCAGCAGUGGGGAAUAUUGGGCAAUGGGCGCAAGCCUGACCCAGCAACGCCGCGUGAAGGAAGAAGGCUUUCGGGUUGUAAACUUCUUUUCUCAGGGACGAAGAAAGUGACGGUACCUGAGGAAUAAGCCACGGCUAACUACGUGCCAGCAGCCGCGGUAAUACGUAGGUGGCAAGCGUUAAUCGGAAUUACUGGGCGUAAAGCGCUCGUAGGCGGUAUGUCAAGUCAAGGGUGAAAUCCCCGCGCUCAACGUGGGAACUGCCUUUGAAACUGGCAAACUGGAGUGUGUGAGAGGAUAGUGGAAUUCCAGGGGUAGGAGUGAAAUCGGGAGAGAGCUGGAGGAACAGCAGUGGAGAAGGCGACUAUCUGGCACAUAACUGACGCUGAGGAGCGAAAGCGUGGGUAGCAAACAGGAUUAGAUACCCCUGUAGUC